UCCUGGGAGGACUAGAGGUUAGGCCUCAGCGCUCUCACUGCCACGGCCCGGGUUCGAUUCCUGUCCAGGGAA